rnacentral:rRNA from 1 species
GACGAACGCUGGCGGCGUGCCUAAUACAUGCAAGUCGAGCGGACGGAUGGGAGCUUGCUCCCAGACCGUCAGCGGCGGACGGGUGAGUAACACGUGGGCAACCUGCCUGUAAGACUGGGAUAACUCCGGGAAACCGGGGCUAAUACCGGAUAACUCUUUCCCUCACACGAGGGAAAGCUGAAAGAUGGCAUCUCGCUAUCACUUACAGAUGGGCCCGCGGCGCAUUAGCUAGUUGGUGAGGUAACGGCUCACCAAGGCGACGAUGCGUAGCCGACCUGAGAGGGUGAUCGGCCACACUGGGACUGAGACACGGCCCAGACUCCUACGGGAGGCAGCAGUAGGGAAUCUUCCGCAAUGGACGAAAGUCUGACGGAGCAACGCCGCGUGAGUGAUGAAGGUUUUCGGAUCGUAAAACUCUGUUGUCAGGGAAGAACAAGUACCGGAGUAACUGCCGGUACCUUGACGGUACCUGACCAGAAAGCCACGGCUAACUACGUG